AUAUGAAAUUAUAUGAAGGUCACUGUAAUAAUCGAAAUGUGUUAUCUUGGAAGAUAGUACCACUGAGCUUUUAGUUCUUAAAAUUUGAUGUGCAAUAGAGCCACUUGGAAGUGGUUUUUUAAACGCAGGUUUCAGUCAUCUCUAGGAGAUUGCAAUUCUCAAUUCCUGGUUUAGAUUUUCAAAAGUUAACAAAUACCUCAGGUGAUUCUGAUGUAGUGGAUUUAGGGACCAUUUUCUGAGAAACUUUAUACUAUUUCUCAUUAAGGCUUUAGCAUAUUAACAAGUCACAAGAUGAUACUUAAAACUAUGCAACAACAGACAUGUACGUUCUGAAAAGGACUGGACAUCUAGAAAGGAGUUUAAAGUACUGUUAUACUAGGAAGAACCAGGUGUAAUAUAGUGAUGGGAGCACUGUGUUCUGGCCUAAAUCUGAAGUCAAAAAAGAUGUGCACCCUGAGGCAGAAAGAUGAUGCCAAAAAGAUAGUAAUGGUAGAAUGAAAACAAACUUCUGCUUUAGAGUGUUUUGGCAAAGUAAUAUUUUUAUUAAACUCCUACAUGCUCACGCUCACACACACAGGCCUGAAAAGCAGAUAAUGUUAGAUAAAGUGAGUAUAAAAUCUUGUUUUGUUCUCACAAGAAAUAAACUCAGAAAAUAGAAAUCCUUAUCUAUGAAGAGAUAAAUUGCCCAAUUUACUGGCUGUUCACCAAACACAAAGCUCAGUGACAGUCCCUAUCCUCCUUUGGGAUUAGAUGAAGCCAUAUGACUGGAUUAUAGCUAAAAGAGUGUGGGAAGAAAUGAUAUAUACCACUUUCAACUACAGCUCACGAAAUCCUCCCAAACCCCAUCUUCCAUUCUUUUUCUGUCUACUGACUAAAUGGACAGGACACUGAGGAGCAUGAGGAAGGUAGAGUCACAAAAUGGAGAGAGCCUGGAUCCUUGUCACUUGGAAGAAAAUGGUUUAAGUAAGGAUAACUGUGUUGGAUUACUCUGAGUGAGGCGUGGGAAACAAAAAAAAACAACAUUAUGAUUAUAUGAAGUCACUGAAAUAUUGAGGUUGUGAUAUCAGAGAGUUUAAAUGUUCUGAACACUAUCCUGAUUUCCCUAAGCCAAUAUUUCAGGAAAAUCUCUUCAACUAUUGUUGAUAAUAAUUAAACGUGUGUUGGGCUAGGAAAAGCUACUCUUUGAAAGAUCUUUAUCUUCAGUAUAAAAAAAAUUGUAGGCACACAAAAUUUUAAACUGGAAUUUCCACUUUAAGAGGGAUUUUUGUCAAAGGAAGGGAUGGAUGCUAGUUGUAUUAAAUUCUCCAUUUCCCACGUCAAAGAUGCAAAAGUGUGUUACCAUAUAGUGCUUUACUCACUAUUCCUUCAAUCUCAAAUAUUCUGUGCUUAAACCCCAAGACAUAUCUGAUUUGAGAAAUUGAUUGCUGAGCUAUUUAUGGUUUAAAAUAUAUGGUAUGUCAAAACAUUCUUAUGUUCUUAGGAAGACUAAACAGUUUGAAUCAUUUUGAAGGAUACCCAAUGUUUAUAAACUCUCUUAACAUGAGUCUUACCAUGACUAAUGAAUUCUUUGAUCCCUGACCAGAUAAAAGUUUUGUUUGGUAGGCUUAUAAUAUGCUCAGCUUCAACCAGUAUGUAAAUCAGCGAAACUUCUAAUUGUCACUGUGAGUUUAGAAUAUUUUGUUCUUGUAGUUUCUUUGGGAAAUGUGUUUACUCAGUUGCUGCAUUUUUCCUGCUAUGAGUCAUUUAAUUAUACACAUUUAUAUCAGCAUUUGUGCCACCCCUUUUUUCUUCUCAUAUCACUUUGCAUGACUAUCUCUUACCUGUUUGUCAGUUUCCUGCACCUUGAAGAACCUAUGAGAAGGUGAGUGAACCACCAUCAUAAAUGGUUCUAAAAUUUGUUUAAAAAAAAAACUUGUAGUAUUAUGAUUCAAUGUUGUUGUUAUGGGUCCUUCUCUUGAAGCUUUCAUGUAUGAAAUGUAAAGUUUAUAUUAAAGACUCUACAGUGAUUUACUUUUACCUGCUUUCAAAUUUCAAAUUUCUGUAUAGGAUGGUGAGGUUUGGGGAUGGUUUUCCUUAUUUUUUUCCCUAAAUUCAUUGUUCUUGAAUACUCUGUUUACCUAUAGACAAUAUUUUCUAAUAUUAUCUUUUAGAAAAAUUGAACAAAGGAAUCUCAAACAAGUGUUUUUUAUAUUAAAAGUAUGAUAAAUAAUAAAAGUGAAAAUGUUGAUUUUCAAUAGUAUGAUGUUUCAGUGUAAUCUGAAUAUUUCAAGAUAAUUGAGUUGCCAUAGCAAUAACUGUUAGCAGUGCAUUGCAAAAAAACCUUUUGAUAAGAAAUGUUUUGAUUGUAUCUCUUCCUAAUUGAUAAUGUACAUAUCCAUUAUUUUCAUUAGUUGUUUUUAUAACAAUUUAAUGGGAUAGAUAUGUAUCAGCAAUCAGAAGAUGUUUUAUAGAUAGGGAAACUAUCACAACUUUAUAAUGUUUAUCUUAAAAAUACAAAAUAUAUUUUAUCACUUUGACAAAUCCUUAAAAAAAAUGUAUUUAUCAAUUGUCUUCAGCAUAUCUCAGGACAGAGUGUCAAGAUUUCCACUGCACCUGAGCAUACAAUCUGUUUAGCACUCACCAAAUUUUAUUCAUCCUGUGACCACGUUCUAUUACAUUGUGUGAUUAACCAGAGCUACUCAAUUGUAGAAGUGUGUCUCAAGACCCAGUACUCUGCUUAGCUGCAUCACAGGAAGAAAGUUGUCAUCCAAGAAAACAUCCAUUAGCAAGUCAUUGAAGAGCUCAAAUCAGAUGCAGCCUCGACCUCCUGUGCUCAAGCCUUCCUCCCACCUCAUCUUCCUGGGUAGCUGGACUACAGAUCCAGGAUUCGAUCAGACAUCAUUUCUUCUCACACCAAAGAAAUUCGGCUAGCUUUUCUUGAAAUGCUGGAGUGGAAUGGCACAAUCUCAGCUCAGUGCAACCCCUGCCUCCCAGGUUCAGGUGACUCUUCUGCCUCAGCCUCCAAGUAGCUGGGAUUACAGGCAUUCCCCUACCUUUCAAAGGCAUUGAUCUAACACUCUUUGAAGGUAUGUAAUGUCUUGAAGGAUUCUUCAGCUCCAAUGUCAGUUAUUGCUUGUUGAAAGUUGGAAAUGCAUCUGAUGAAUUACACUCAGCUAGCCUACUUUGUGCCUGCCACCUGAGGAAACAUUCUAUUUAUGAAAGAUCUGUUCACUUUACAGGGAUAACUCUUAGCUCUUAUUCUCUUCAGUCUCCCAAUAACCCUCAGCUUUGGCCCAGCUACCCACCUCUGCUGCACUUGAAGACUCAAUUUAAGAAUUGGCAAGUGGGUGCAGACUGUUUAUUAAUGGGCCUUCUCAGGAUUCUAAUCUAUCGUGGCAGUUUUAUAUAUGGUAGCUUAAAGUUUCUUAACAGUUUGCCUAAUUUUGCCACAUCCCCCUCUAGCAGAUUUCUUUUUCAAAAUUUUGCUAGAAAUAAGAGCAGCCCAUGAAUAUUUUCCCUCCUAUAAAAGGCUUAUUGCUUUCUGAAGUUUAGUUUAUUUACAUUUCUUUGUGUCCACAGAUCUCUGGUAAGAUUCUAAAAAUGAUUAUUUUGCAGCAAAAUUAGCUUUUCUUUUAUUUUAAAUUCAGGGGGUGCAUGUGCAUGUUUGUUAUAUGGGUAUAUUUCACACUGGUGGGAACUGGGUUUCUAGUGUACCCAUUACCCAAACAGUGAACAUUGUACUCAUUAGGCAAAUUUUCAACCCUUGCUCUCCUCCCACCCUCCCCCAUUUUGGAGCCUCCAGUGUCUGUUAUUUCUAUCUUCAUGUGUAUGCAUGCCCAUUGUUUCACUUCCACUUAUGAGUGAGAACAUGCAACAUUUGGCUUUCUGUUUUUGAGUUAGUUCACUUAGUAUAGUAGUCUCCAGCUCCAUUCACGUUGCUGCAGAGGACAUGAUUUUAUUCAUUUUACGACUGCAUACCAUUCCAUAGUGUACAUAUACCACAUUUUCUUUAUCCAGUUAACUGUUGAUGAACACCUAUGUUGGUCCCAGGACUUUGCUGUUGUAAAUAGUGCUACGAUUAACAUAUGAGCAUAGGUGUCUUUUCUUUAUAAUGAUUUCUUCUCCUUUAUGUAGAUACUCAGCUGUGGGGUUGCUGGAUCAAAUUGUAGUUCUAUUUUUAUUUAUUUGAGAAAUCUCCAUUCUGUUUUCCAUACAGGUUGAACUAAUUUCAUUCUCACCAACAGUGUUAAGCAUUCCCUUUUCUCUGUUUCAGUGCCAAAAUCCAUUGCUUUUUGACUUUAGCCUUUUUGACUGAUGUGAAGUGGUAUCUUAUUGUGGUUUUGAUUUGCAUUUCACUGAUGAAUAGAGAUGUGGAAUAUUUUUAAAUAUAUUUGUUGGUUGCUUGCAUGUCUUUUUUUGAGGAGUGCCUAUUCAUAGCCUUUGCGCAUUUUUUAAUGGGGUUGUUUUUCCUUUUUGAAUUGUUCAUGUUCUUUAUAGAUUCUGGAUGUUGGAUAGAUCAUUUGCAAGUAUUUUCUGCCAUUCUGAAGGUUGCCUGUUUGCUCUAUUGAUAGUUUCUUUUGCAGUACAGAAGCUUUUACAUUUUAAUUAAAUCCCACUUAUCUAUUUUUGUUGUUGUUGUUGUUACAUUUGCUUUUGGGGUCUUCAUCAUAAAUUCUUUGCCUAGAUAAAUAUCUAGAAAAGUUCUUCCUAUGUUUUCUUGUAGGAUUUUUAUAGUUUUAGAUCUUAUGCUUAAGUCUUUAAUUCAUCUUGUGUUAAUUUUUCUAUAUGGUGACACAUAAGAGUCCAGUUGCAUUUUUCACAUAUGGCUAGCCAGUAAUUUGCUUCAUAAAGUUACUAUUAAGGAGAACAAUAAUCUCUCAUGAUUUCCUACAUCUGAAGUUAAGGCUUACUCUAUUAUGUAUAUUAUGGCUAUAGAUUCCAGGGAAUCAAGGUCAAUUGUGUAAAUGAAUUAAUGCAUGAAAGAUGCACUACUACAAUCCAUUUAUGCUAUCUAUCAUACCUUACAUUCAUAUAAUCAGUUUUAGUUUUAAAGGCACUUUUAUACUUAAAUAUAUGCUUUAUACUUAAUAAUAGAGCUAAGGUUUAUUGAAUGUCAUUUCAGUGUUACACAUUGAGUCAAGUACUUUACAUAAAAUAUAUUUCACUGAAUCCUCGCAAUUUAUGAAUUUUCUUGAUUCUCAAAUUACAAGUAGGAAAAUGAGGAACAUCAGGGUUUAUAAAUCAUGCAGAGCUAGGAUUUGAACCAAGAUUGUUCUGCUUGAAAUUAUCUAGUUAUUAAGUACUAAAUUACUGUUCUUUCAUUUGUAUAUCCUUUUCCUCAGUAAAAACCUCUCUUUAUCUCUCUUUGCUCUUUCUCUCUCUCUCUCUCUGUCAAUCAUAUAGCCGGCUAGCUAUCCAGUAAUUAGAAUUUUAGUUUAGUAAUUCAUAAUUAAGUUUCUAAUGAAAUGCUUCUAUAUUCCAAGAUAAGCUUAAAAAAACCUCAUAAUAUACUGAGAACUAAAACUGACAACCAAUAUGUUAUUUUAAUGAUCUAGAGAGUCAAAUUAAAACUACAAUUUAAGACUUUCUUCACUACAUUACAUUUUAAUGUUACAAUUCCCCUGUCUCCUC